CAGUAGCCGCGGGAAUACGUAGGGUGCAAGCGUUAAUCGGAAUUACUGGGCGUAAAGCGUUCGCAGGCGGUUAUAUAAGACAGAUGUGAAAUCCCCGGGCUCAACCUGGGAACUGCAUUUGUGACUGUAUAGCUAGAGUACGGCAGAGGGGGAUGGAAUUCCGCGUGUAGCAGUGAAAUGCGUAGAUAUGCGGAGGAACACCGAUGGCGAAGGCAAUCCCCUGGGCCUGUACUGACGCUCAUGCACGAAAGCGUGGGGAGCAAACAGGAUUAGAUACCCCUGUAGUCCCUGUCUCUUAUAC
rnacentral:rRNA from 1 species